rnacentral:lncRNA from 1 species
ACCUGAAUACAUGAUCUGUAAUAGUGUAAUUGAAAGUGAACUGGGUGAAUGUAAAGUGAAUUUACAAUAACUCGAUUGGUGGUUGAUUUCACGUGUGCAUAACUUUCGUGGUGCUUAUGUCACUAACAAAUAUGUAAAACCUAUCUCAUGAUGUUCAUGUGCUUAAGUUGCCCGAAGCUUAUAUAAACGAUGUGACAAAUGGUAUAAACGACGUGACAAAUGGGAUCUAUAUCUCGUGUCAUUCAGCAUGCAACUGUCAAGGUUAUGCCAACUUGCAGGUCUAAAAAAACCUAACAUGAACAUGCCAUACAAAAACACAUAAACACCAUGAAUGUAUGCCAUUAAACAAUCGACACAUCGGAAAAAAAUUGUACGUGAACUUUAGUUUCUCGCCACUCAAGCCAGCAUAUGUGCUAGUGUGCCAGCUACUCUCCUGUGGUCCUACCAUGUGGUUGAACUAUGAUUAAUUCUGUAGCUACUUGUGCGCGGUAUAUUAAGUGCGUACAAUGCAGGAACGUGACAGCAUCUUGUACCUUCUUUGAAGAUAAAAUAUAAUUUUAUUAGUUGGAAGAUAUUUAGUUAGGCAAGCGAUUGAUUUAAAUAGCAAGAUUAGGAUAUGUCAUGGUUUAGUCAUGUAGGGAUUCUAGUCCUUUCAGGCCAAGCAUGCCCUUGUAUAGCGAAUACUGACUUGGCUAGCCCCUAAGAAUAGUAUCCCUGCUUGGCCAACAAACAUCAUUAUCUUCCUAUUCAAACCAAUGGUGAAGCACGGAAAAAGUAAGACUAAUGGUGUAUGGAUUAUGAAUUAAGCAUAGAGAGAAACAUGUAAACUUUGAACUAUAUAGUUUAAAUUAUUCGUGAAGAAUGGAUGUAAUAGCGAAUUGAAGAAUCCAGAACAUCAUAUUUUGAUUCUUGUGUUUUCUGGUAUACCUAUCAAACCAUACUUUGCCAAGGGAAUGUUUGUAUAUGCUCCCAUGCGGAACUGUUAGACACUUGCAUUUAUUGAUUAUUUUGUACCUGCACCUCCACCUCCACCUUUUAUUCGGGUCAACCGGUGUUAACAGGCGCAAUUUACCAAACAAAAUUCUCUGCUAUUGAAUAUCUCUUUCACAUUGUGACUUGUGCCAUUGUUGUCAAAACCGGAGAAAUGCUUUUGAAGAUGAGCAGAUGAAAAUCUGAACCUAGUUUUGGUGUGGUUCGCUUAAUCCUGAAUGUUUCCAGCUGGACAUUUGCUGUGAAAUACUAUAUGGUAAUAAUUAUUAACAAUGAACCGUAUCUUCUUAAAUCGAGAUAUGGUGGUUCUACCUAUGAGUGUAAAAUUGACUUACAUGUACAGUGCAUGUUUGACCAAGCACUAAGUUUCUACCAUAUAUUUGUUAUAUAUGUCUUAGUUUCUUCCCCUCCAGUAUAUGUCAAAGCUGGUGACCUUUUCCUUAUCUUUGCAGUCCAGAAAUUCCUAAAUUAAAUUUCCAUGUGGAGCUUGAUGCAGCCAAAGCGACAUGGUUAUCCAAUGAUAUUGUAAUGUUCUCGACAAAGACCGGAGAAAUGCUGUUACUUACAGUAGUUUAUGAUGGCAGGUAUGGUAACUCUAUGGAUCAUUAUCUGUCCUAUUGUUGUGCAGCUGUUCUAGCUUUCGUAGGCGUGAUAGAGUUGGUCAUUAUCUGCUUCUUUUUCUUUCGCAGAACUGUGCGAAGGUUAGAUCUUAUGAAGUCAAAAGCAUCUGUCAUCAGUUCGGUUGGUUGCUCAUACUUUUCUUGUGCUUAUAUACCUUUUCAUUUUUAAUAUUACCAAUCCCUCUUAUGUUAUUGAUCCAUCUGUGCGCAGGGUGCUACGACUAUUGGAAGUUCAUUCUUCUUCCUUGGUAGCCGUUUGGGAGACAGCCUUCUUGUGCAAUUUUCCUGUGGUGUGGCAACAUCUGUCUUACCAGAUCUAAUAGACGAGGUAUUUUUGACUCUUGAGAUACCUUUCUCAAUGUGCCAUUCUGCUGGAAGUACUUUUCGCUUGUACUUUAGAUGGUACAAAUAUUUAUUUUAGAAAUAGCUUGCCAUUGAAUGUUUUAAGCAUAGUUGCUCAACGCCUAAACCGAAAGAUUUUUAGAAAUGGCUUACCUGUUAAACCGGAAAAGUCCAGAAGCAUGGACUACACCGGCUUGUUUUCCUCGGAUAUGUCAAAGCACCAAAGAUUCCAACCAAUAAGGCAUCUCACUCAAAAUGAAUUCUAUGCAUAAAUCCUGCAGGACAUGACUGAAUGCGUUACCUGUCUGCUAUAUUUAGAAUGGGAUCUUAAUCAUUGAUGUUCAUAUGUUUCUUUGAUGGAAAUGACCUACGGAGUAGACAUGGAAAUGUUACAUCUACCUUAAGCCACACGUUACAUAUAUGUUUACCAGUACAUGUUUAUUAAUCAGUAUUAUACUUUAUAGGUUUACUAUAUUACUAUAAAGUUUAUAGUCAAAGUUGUGCCGAUAUAUCUGAAUUUGUCGGCCACACUGUACUAAUCUCUUGUAAAAUGAAGUAAGCAAAUACUGUUCCUUCGUUGACUGGUGAUAUAUGGUGAUCUACUUGUGCAGCGGUCUGGUGAUAUUGAAGGCGACCUGCCUUUUCCGAAGCGCCUGAAGAGGGUGCCUUCUGACGUUUUACAGGAUGUGACCAGUGUUGAGGAACUUUCUUUUCAGAAUAACAUGUUGCCAAACAGUAUAGAGUCAGCACAGGUAUGAAAAUGUUACUUCCAGUUGCAUGGUUAUUAUUUGUUUAUAUGCAACUCUGUAGUGAUAGAAUCAUGUUCUUGUGUAUAUAAUUCUUUUUACUGCCAUUUGUUAGUUACCACUUCAAUUUACGGUUUUCUUAAAAUAUAUGCUUCAUGAAUUUCCUUUGCAUAAUUUAGUACUCCCUCCGUCCCAUAAUAUAAGAACGUUUUUGCCACUAUAUGGGACGGAGGGAGUAAUUGCUUGCUUAUUGCUUCUUUCUUGCCACUAAUUUGUUUCACUUAUUAUUCACAGAAAAUCUCAUAUGUUGUGAGAGAUAAGUUGAUCAAUGUUGGCCCUCUGAAAGAUUUUUCAUACGGUUUAAGAGUGAAUGCAGAUGCCAAUGCAACAGGAAAUGCAAAGCAAAGCAAUUAUGAGUUGGUCAGUUGCAUGAGACUUCACCUCUGUCUUUGGCUAUAAUUAGGUCCAUUUUGUUCCAGCUGGGCUAGCUUUUUUUGUUGAAUGUGUACAUGAUUCAUUAUUGAUUUGGAGAAUGGGUAUUGUAUAUUUUAUUCAGGUUCCUAGUCGUGCUUGUAACUUGCCGGAAAUCGGAGAUUCUGGUGAUUUAUGGUAUUAGUGCUAGCCUGCUAGGGGGAUUAGGGUCUAUUUCAAAUUUACGAUCUCACACGAUUAGGUCAGGGAAACAAAUCGAUAAAAUAAUAAGAAAGGUAAAUAAAUCAAGAGAGCACAUUGUUGGAGUCUAUGUGAGAAGGGCUGUUAAUGGUUUCCCUGUGGGAUUCAGGACUCCUACCAGAAUGAGUAGAUUGAACCCUGUCAGAGUGUAAGAGAAAAAAAUGGGCACAUAAAUGAGAAACGUUGUAUCAUCAGAAUAGUUGUGUCUGUGUACUUACCGUGUACGUUGCUUUCUCCUAAGUUCCUCAAUAUAUGCUAUUGAAGUCACACAUCCGACACGAAUGUGUCUAUCAUUAGCUCCUCAUAUGUGACCUUAACAAUUUACAUCCUGUGACCAGUUUACCACCUUUGCACCAAUAUGUCUGUUGCUUCAGUGAAUCAGUGAAAGGAAGUUCGACAAUCUAUUUGUUAUUUAAUUACCGAGAAGCAUUUUUUGUUCUGCAUUUUAGAUACUCUUUGUGACAGUAUUAGCUCUAUUUCAGGUGUGCUGUUCUGGUCAUGGAAAGAACGGAGCACUUUCUGUCCUACAACAAUCUAUUCGCCCUGAUUUAAUUACCGAGGUACAUUUUUCUCCUCCCUUUUCAUCCCAGUUCAGCUCAAACCCCAAAUAUUCCACCAAUGCCUUUUGAAGAACUUGACCAACAUAUUCGAACUUUAAUCCCCUGCGUUUUAGUGGCGUUUAGUCAAGAUUUUUGUCGCACCGGUGUUCGUCAUUUUUUCGACAUGGAAAUUUUUAUGUUACCUACUUUAUCUUGACUUACAUUUGUUCUUUACUUGUGUAGGUGGAAUUACCAAGUUGCAGAGGUAUUUGGACAGUGUACUAUAAGAGUUCCCGUGCACAUACCACUGAAGAUAAUGAAUAUCAUGCUUAUCUGAUAAUAAGUCUAGAGAACCGGACCAUGGUAACAGAAAUUUGAUUUCCCUUGCAGCUGUAUACUGAAGUCUAAUGCUUAUGAUUUUUUUGGCAUAGUAUUUUGAGUGGAAGCUAACCACCCCCAUAACUAUUAUGACAUUGAAAAGACCCAAAAUCCUUUAAAAAAUCAUGGCUGUAUGGCACACUAGGCCUAGUUUUAAAACAGGACCAACAGCCUGACAAAAAAAAAC